UACGGAGGGUGCGAGCGUUGUCCGGAAUCAUUGGGCGUAAAGGGCGCGUAGGUGGCCCGGUCAGUCUUUGGUGAAAGCGCGGGGCUCAACCCUGCGUCGGCCAGGGAUACUGCCGCGGCUCGAGCACUGUAGAGGCAGGCGGAAUUCCGGGUGUAGCGGUGGAAUGCGUAGAGAUCCGGAGGAACACCAGCGGCGAAGGCGGCAUCCUGGACUGGUCCUGACACUCAGGAGCGAAAGCGUGGGGAGCGAUCCGG
rnacentral:rRNA from 1 species